AUGCUUCAUUUUUUCAUUGUCUUUGUGCUUUCCAUAUCUGUUCCUUCGGUGGCGUGCGCUUCUACAGCAAAUGGCAGCAGCACCCUGACAGAAGGCCAAGAGCUCAGCGGCGGCAACAGGCUCAUCUCAAAGAAUGGCAAGUUCGCGUUGGGCUUCUACACGUCAGGAAGCAGUAAGUCUUCCUCAGACACCACCACCUUCCCCAACUGGUAUGUAGGUAUAUGGUUCAACAAGAUCCCAAAGUUCACUCCUGUAUGGAUUGCGAACAGAGAAAAACCAAUCACUGACCCAAAGUUUAGACUGUCCAAGCUCAGAAUCUCAAGGGAUGGCAAUCUUGUCAUCUUAAACCAUGCGACUAAAUCCAUAAUCUGGUCCAGUCAAAUAAUAGCAGCCAAAGGUAGAAGAACAGCUAGCAAAAAUACUACCAUCGUGGCGGCGCUCUCAGAUGAUGGUAACCUUGUCAUAAGAGACGACUCGAACCCAUCCAUCGUGUGGUGGCAGAGCUUUGAUCACCCAACAAAUGUUUUCCUGCCCGGUGCAAGGAUUGGCCGGAACAAGGUUACUGGCCAAAAAUACAGUCUUGUUUCGAAGAAGAAUCUGAUAGAUCCAGCUCCAGGCCUAUACUACAUGGAGCUAGACCCCACUAGUGAUCCGCAGUACUUUGUUAAGCUCUGUAAUUCAUCCAUGGUGUACUUCUCCACGGGGGAAUGGAUCGGGUGGUACUUCAAUUUGGUGCCGGAGAUGUCAGGCAAUAACUUUCUCCAUACCAAAUUCAUCGACAAUGAUGAAGAGGAGUACUUCACCUAUGCCCCGACGGAUCCAACAAUGAUAACAAUCUGCUUCCUUGACGUCUCUGGUCUUACCAAGCAACUUCUUUGGCUUGAAAGCUUGCAAGAUUGGGAAACCAUAUAUGUCCAACCGAGGGCUCCAUGCGAUGUUUUCGCCGUUUGCGGGCCUUUCACGGUCUGCAACGACAACGCACUUACAUUGUGUCUGCAUGAAUGGGUUCUCUGUGAAGUCACCAGAGGAUUGGGUGCUGGAUGA
rnacentral:rRNA from 1 species